ensembl:lncRNA
CUCUGAUUUUGUUUAGGUUAUUUCUGUUGAUAUUUGUAAACACCUUUUUAGUUGUUAGCAAUUUACAAUGAUUACAGAUUGCAUGAAACCAAAGAUGAUGAGGGAUGUACACACAUUCCUUCAUUUCUCCUUCCAGACUUUUCCAGGCAUCUCUAAUGAGAUGAGAGUUUGCUGAAGACACAGAAACAAAGAUCUAUGACUGGCUUAUUGUGGACUCCUUUCCUGCUGGGAUGUGACCAAGUUUCUCCACUGAAGGCCAGAUCUCUGGUCAGAAGCCCUCAAGUUUAUCUGCAGAGAAAGCAACAGAAACCUUUGAGAGUAGAAGAAAUGUCUCAGAGAAGAACAGUCUGCAGCAGAAGUUAUCAGAUCGUGGACUAUGCAAUCAAACAUUCUGAUUAUCCAAAAGAAAGCUACAGUCAGUGAUAGAAUCCUCCUUAACCAAAGGAUUGGCACCAGGAGUUUCUUUGUUAAAUGGAAAAGUCCUUCAGAUAUAUUUAUUUUCUGAUGCAUCUCUUCAUAUGUGACCAUGGCCUCUUUUGGCUAUGUCCAUUUAGUAGAGUGGGUAUAGACUUUUUGUUCAAAAGUCAAAAUUAUCACACAUUAUCUAUAAUUACUACAUUCAAUUUUUUAAAAUAAAAUAUACAAAAACAAUUAAAAAAAAGAAUAC